rnacentral:tRNA from 1 species
GCCCUAGUAGCUCAGCUGGUAGAGCGUAAGCGUGGGUUCGAAUCCCACCGAGGCUA